AAAAUUCAUACAAAGUCUUUGCACAGAGCAUGUAAGUCAACGUUUAUCCUAAAAGCUUUGAUAGAUGUUUCUCUCUAAUCAAUUUAUUUUCUCUUAGAUAUUUAAUAAAGACCAUGAAUGAAAAUAAAUAAAUCCCCCCACUUUGUCAAGCCAAAGUCUGCAAAGAUUCUUACAUUGACAAACAUUUGCUGCAACAUCGCUGCACCUCCAAGAACAAAAUGAGCUCCUUGUUUCCUCUACCCACCCUAUAUAUCUUAAUACCUAUAAUUUAGAAGGUGAAAAUGUAAUUCAGAACAACUGUAUCUUCUCUGCAGAAUCCACAAAAUGGCUAUUGCAUUGCAGCAAAUUCACUGGUAUCUGAGAUGAAAUGUCGUAAAUCAAGGGUCAGAAGAAACAAAUAACAUCCAGUCAAGUUGAAGGCAGCUUGGGAUAUCAUAAAAUGUCCAGAUGGAAGCAAAACCUGGUUGUCUGGAAAGCAAAGGACACUCUGUAUCGGUUAUGGAAGUGGCAGUGCACUGAGCAAGUCUCUGGGCUAACACCAGAUAGUACUAAGUCUGUACUCCAACCAUCGGCAGGAGAGAAGUAUCCCGCAGACCAUCACUUGCAUCCAUUCAACUUCAUUUUAAAGCUAUCCUGCCUAUUUUUCUGUGGAAAACUUUUAAAGGGAGACAUUUUAAAUCCGGAUGAAAUCAACUGAAGGUGAAAAGAAAGUGAGCUUGUGGGUAAUAAAGGUGAGCAAUAAAGUGGGCA
rnacentral:lncRNA from 1 species